rnacentral:rRNA from 1 species
CUGUUUAUCAAAAACAUCUCCUCUUGAACAUAAUUAGAGGUCGGCUCUGCUCAAUGAAAAUUAAAUAGCCGCAGUAUUUUGACUGUGCUAAGGUAGCAUAAUAAUUUGUCUUAUAAUAGAAGGCUGGUAUGAAAGAGUUGACAUUGCCUUUACUUUCUUUUUAAAAAUUUUAAAAUUUGAUAUUUACAUAAAAAAGUGUAACUUAAUUAAAGGGACGACAAGACCCUGUAAAGCUUUAUUGAAAGUAAAUUUUUCUCAAAAAGAAACGGAGGAAUUUGCUUAAAUUGAGCUGGGGCGGCAGUUACUUAGCCAGUAAAAAUUUUAACAAAAUUUUUGAGUUUAAAGAUCUUUUAGAGAAAUAGAACAAGCUACUUCAGGGAUAACAGCAUAAUUUCUUUUUAUAGAUCUUAUAGAUAAAGAAGACUUAUGACCUCGAUGUUGAAUUGAGGAGUUCUUUUUGAGCAAAAACAAACAGGAUUGGUCUGUUCGACCAUUAAAUUCUC